GACAGCAGCAGCCACGGUAAUACAGAGGGUGCGAGCGUUAAUCGGAUUUACUGGGCGUAAAGCGUGCGUAGGCGGCUUUUUAAGUCGGAUGUGAAAUCCCUGAGCUUAACUUAGGAAUUGCAUUCGAUACUGGGAAGCUAGAGUAUGGGAGAGGAUGGUAGAAUUCCAGGUGUAGCGGUGAAAUGCGUAGAGAUCUGGAGGAAUACCGAUGGCGAAGGCAGCCAUCUGGCCUAAUACUGACGCUGAGGUACGAAAGCAUGGGGAGCAAACAGGAUUAGAUACCCCCGUAGUCCCUGUCUCUUAUAA
rnacentral:rRNA from 1 species